rnacentral:rRNA from 1 species
CACGUAGGGCGCAAGCGUUGUCCGGAAUUAUUGGGCGUAAAGAGCUCGUAGGCGGUCUGUUGCGUCCGCUGUGAAAACUCGGGGCUUAACCCCGAGCCUGCAGUGGAUACGGGCAGACUAGAGGUAGGUAGGGGAGAAUGGAAUUCCCGGUGUAGCGGUGAAAUGCGCAGAUAUCGAGAGGAACACCUGCGGCGAAGGCGGGUUGCUGGGCCGACACUGACGCUGAUGCGCGAAAGCCAGGGGAGCGAACGGG